rnacentral:rRNA from 1 species
GUCUACAGCCAUACCACACUGAACACACCCAAUCUCAUCUGAUCUCAGAAACUAAGCAGGGUUGGGCAUGGUUAGUAUUUGGAUGAGAGUACAAACUCUGCAAUUUUCUCA